AUGAGGUUUUCUAUCACAAGAUACCUCAGGAAGAUGAAGCUUACCAACAAGAAUUUAUGGCGAGGAGGCACUCUUGUGCACCCUUUGCAAUACAAAGGUCGUCGGCGGCGGAUCUGGAGACGCGGAUGCUCCUGCACAACGCGGCGUCCAUGGAGUCCCCUUGUCUGUCAAGGAACCGGUCGUCGUUCCACCCCCUCCCCUUCCCCGAACACCAUCGUCGCUCCUCUGCGUGGCGUCUCUCGCUUGUCGCUACCAUCCAUGAGGAGAAUCCAUCGUCAAAGGUCGCCGUACAGGGACUCUGUUGCUUUCUGCAGAACCGCCACUCCUGCCACCUCCAGGAAAGCAUUUGUACGCAGAUGGGUUAUAUCUAAUAACUUGUAUGUACAUGCCUCUAUUUUUGUGUCCAUUCGAUCAUCAUUUCACCCUGAUAUAGUUAUUCUUUCUACUUUCAUUGAUUCUUUCGUGGUUUCUUGUCAUCUUGUGCCCUUUGACAAUUGGGUUUUUCUCUGUUAUUCUUUGUAG
rnacentral:rRNA from 1 species